CCUACGGGAGUCAGCAGUGGGGAAUAUUGCACAAUGGGCGCAACCCUGCCCCAGCACCGCCGCGUGAAGGAAGCAGUCUUUCGGGUUGUAACCUUCUUUUAAGGGGGAAGAGCAGAAGACGUUACUCCUUGAAUAAGCCACGGCUACCUACGUGCCAGCAGCCGCGGUAAUACGUAGGUGGCACGCGUUGUCCGGAUUUCCUGGGUGUAAAGGGCGUGCAGCCGGAGAGACAAGUCAGAUGUGAAAUCCACGGGCUCAACCCGUGCACUGCAUUUGAAACUGUUUCCCUUGAGUGCCGGAGAGGUAAGCGGAAGUCCUGGUGUAGCGGUGAAAUGCGUAGAUAUAAGGAAGAACACCAGUGGCGAAGGCGGGUUACUGGACGAUAACUGACGGUGAGGCGCGAAAGCGUGGGGAGCAAACAGGAUUAGAUACCCCAGUAGUC
rnacentral:rRNA from 1 species